GGCGCCCCCACCUCCCUCCUCUUCUCUCCUCUCCUCUCCUCUCUCUCUCUCCCCCCACUCGCCGCCUCGACCUGCCCUUCCCACACACACCACCUGUCCCCGCUCCGCUCCCGAGGCUUAGGGCUCCGGCCGCGUCCCCUUCCGCUCCCGGCAUUCCCGAUCUCGCCGCCGCCCGCCUGGCCUCGACCUCGAUCGGCCUCCCCCCUCGCCGGCCGGCUCGGGUUUGUCUCGCCGCUAUUGGGCCUCGGCCCGCCGCGAUGGUGUCGGGCGGGUGCGUGGGGGCGGAGGGGGAGGUGGACCCUGAGGCGGUGGCGCCGGCGGCGGCCACGGAGGAGGCGGUGGUGCCGGUGCAGGCGCCCGCGAGGGAGGUUGUGGUGGGGUACGCGCUCACGACUAAGAAGGCCAAGAGCUUCCUCCAACCCAAGCUCCGGGGGCUCGCCAGGAAAAAAGGAAUCUUAUUUGUCGCUAUUGAUCAGAAACGUCCAUUGUCUGAUCAAGGUCCAUUUGACAUUGUUCUUCAUAAGUUGACUGGAAAGGGGUGGCAGCAAUUAUUGGAGGAAUAUAGGGAGGCACAUCCAGAAGUUACUGUUCUUGAUCCACCUGGCGCAAUAGCAAACUUGCUUGAUCGCCAGUCUAUGCUUCAAGAAGUAUCUGAAUUGGACCUCACAGAUUGUCAUGGUAAAGUACGUGUGCCUAAGCAGCUAUUCGUUAAUACUGAUCCCUCAUCAAUACCAGCUGCGGUUAGGAGGGCGGGGCUCUCUCUCCCAUUGGUGGCAAAACCCUUGGUGGCGAAGUCCCAUGAGCUAUCCCUUGCUUAUGAUCCAACUUCACUGACCAAACUUGAGCCCCCCUUGGUUCUUCAGGAAUUUGUUAACCAUGGUGGUGUCAUGUUUAAGGUGUACAUUGUUGGGGAUGCAAUAAGGGUUGUACGUCGGUUUUCACUUCCAAAUGUUGAUGAAGGUGAUCUCUUGAAUAAUGCUGGGGUAUUUCGGUUUCCAAGGGUCUCCUGUGCUGCAGCCAGUGCAGAUGAUGCAGAUCUUGAUCCUGGUGUUGCUGAACUUCCUCCGAGACCAUUGCUUGAGAUCUUGGCACGAGAGCUGCGCCGCCGACUGGGUCUUAGAUUAUUCAACAUUGAUAUGAUUAGGCAGCACGGGACAAGAGAUCGAUUUUAUGUCAUAGACAUGAACUACUUUCCUGGUAUGCAAUCUGACAUUCUUGAGCAUGCACAAUCUAUCCUUCGUUUUGGUAAAGCUAACCUCUGCCUCAACAUUUUAGACAUCAUUGAUCGAAGAAUCUCCUGUUUAAUCCUAUUUUUACUAUAGCUAAAAGUCUUUAAACUAAUUCACUUGCUGACACUAAUAUGAAAUAUCAAAGUUGGAGAGAAAAACACUGCUGGCGAAAAGAGGUAGUUUGUCUUCCGUGUCAUCAUUGCUAAUGAUACCAGAAACAGUUUGGAGUCCAAAGAGUGGCUAGAACCUGGCACAACGAAGUUAUCCCAGCUCAGCCUGUUUUCUUGGUACGGCAAAAUGCCUGGGUACGAGCACGUGUUCACCGACUUCCUGCUGAGCCUUGGCCAGAAAGAGUACAAGAGGCGACCAAGCUAUGGCUCGCUAAGCUCAGGUGAAGGGUGAUAAGUGAGGAAGGCUACUCGGCGGGGGGCCCUGUAUAUGUCUAGCAUCCGCAAAAUGCGUGCGUACAGAAGUACUUGUGCAUGAUGGGAGAUGAUGGGUCGUGGAGUUUGGCAUCACUGCAUCACAUCAGUAGUUGCGAUAAAAGAAGCAAGGACUGUUGUCAGGCUGUAAUUAAAAUUGUUGCUUUACAUGUGCUAACUGUUCAUGCUUCAGAAUAAUUUUGUUUGUCUGGAUGAUGGCCGAUGAAAUCGAGCUACUUGUAGAAUUUAUGACUGACUUGAAUCUCGAAAUAAACGGGGAAUUUGGAUUUGGAUUA